AACCCCUCAUAAAAGGGAGGGAAGAAGAAGUGAUUGAAUACAAAAAAAGUGUUUUUUUUUUGUUUGUUUGUUUGUUUGUUGUAUUAUUUGGUUAGUGACAACUCACAUACCUAGUCAUUGGCUGAAUAUCAGGGCUAGUAUAAGGAAGAUUGUGGAUAAGAUGAGGUGAGCAUCCAGUUGGCUCAGGUGCAGACCAGAAGCUACACCCAGAGGGCUCCUGAAAUGCAGUUGAAGACUUAAGAUUGCAAGUGAAUACGUAUGCAACCCUAUCAUCAACUGUGAUCAGCAGUAAAACUUGGAAGUCAAACGAAGUGAACUCAACCUGGUCUCUAAAUUCCAGAGUGAUUGCUUAUAUCAUUUGA
rnacentral:lncRNA from 1 species